rnacentral:rRNA from 1 species
CCUACGGGUGGCAGCAGUGAGGAAUAUUGGUCAAUGGACGAGAGUCUGAACCAGCCAAGUAGCGUGAAGGAUGACUGCCCUAUGGGUUGUAAACUUCUUUUAUAUGGGAAUAAAAUGUUCCACGUGUGGGAUUUUGUAUGUACCAUAUGAAUAAGGAUCGGUUAACUCCGUGCCAGCAGCCGCGGUAAUACGGAGGAUCCGAGCGUUAUCCGGAUUUAUUGGGUUUAAAGGGAGCGUAGGUGGAUUGUUAAGUCAGUUGUGAAAGUUUGCGGCUCAACCGUAAAAUUGCAGUUGAAACUGGCAGUCUUGAGUACAGUAGAGGUGGGCGGAAUUCGUGGUGUAGCGGUGAAAUGCUUAGAUAUCACGAAGAACUCCGAUUGCGAAGGCAGUUCACUGGACUGCAACUGACACUGAGGCUCGAAAGUGUGGGUAUCAAACAGGAUUAGAUACCCUUGUAGUC